GAUGAACGCUAGCGGCAGGCCUAAUACAUGCAAGUCGGACGGGAUUGGAGAGCUUGCUUUCCAUGAGAGUGGCGCACGGGUGCGUAACACGUAUGUAACCUACCCAUAUCAGGGGGAUAGCCUCUCGAAAGAGAGAUUAAGCCCGCAUAAAAUCACAUCACAGCAUUGUGAAAUGAUCAAAUAUUUAUAGGAUAUGGAUGGGCAUGCGGAACAUUAGCUAGUUGGCGGGGUAACGGCCCACCAAGGCGACGAUGUUUAGGGGAUCUGAGA
rnacentral:rRNA from 1 species